rnacentral:rRNA from 1 species
GGGUUAUGUCCCGCAACGAGCGCAACCCUUCCCAUUAGUUGAUAAGAAAGGGCUCUAUAAUGGGACUGCCGGUGACAAGCCGGAGGAAGGUGGGGAUGAUGUCAUGUCCUCAUGCCCUUUAUAGGGGGGGAUACACAUGUCAUACAAUGGCCGGUACAAAGGGCAGCCAACCCGAGAGGGGGAGCCAAUCCCAUAAAGCCUGUUGUUGUCCGGAUCGCUGUGUGCAACUAGAGUGCGAGAUGUGGGAAUCGAUUGUAAUCGGGGAUCAGCAUGUCACGGAGAAUACGUUCCCGUGUCUUGUACACACCGCCUGUCACCCCAUGGGAGCGGGUCUCGCCAGAAG